rnacentral:rRNA from 1 species
UACAGAGGUCCCAAGCGUUGUUCGGAUUCACUGGGCGUAAAGGGUCUGUAGGUGGCCAACUAAGUCAGACGUGAAAUCCCUCAGCUUAACUGGGGAACUGCGUCUGAUACUGGAUGGCUUGAGUGUGGGAGAGGAAUGCGGAAUUCCAGGUGUAGCGGUGAAAUGCGUAGAUAUCUGGAGGAACACCGGUGGCGAAGGCGGCAUUCUGGACCAUAACUGACACUGAGAGACGAAAGCCAGGGGAGCAAACGGG